GGAGAGAUGGCUGAGUGGUUGAUAGCUCCGGUCUUGAAAACCGGUAUAGUUCUAGGAACUAUCGAGGGUUCGAAUCCC
rnacentral:tRNA from 1 species